rnacentral:snoRNA from 1 species
AAAUAAUGAUGAAACUUGAUGACGAGUCGUAGCGUCGCGGUUGGCGGUCGCGGGCCCCCUCCUCGGCGAGUACUUCGGCAGGUCCGGGCCCGCGCCGCUGACCGCGCUCGCCCUGACGACAUGGCAGUCUGAAUUU